rnacentral:rRNA from 1 species
UACGGGGGGGGCAAGCGUUGUUCGGAAUUACUGGGCGUAAAGGGCGCGUAGGCGGCCUGUUAAGUCGAACGUGAAAUCCCUGGGCUCAACCCAGGAACUGCGUCCGAUACUGGCAGGCUUGAAUUCGGGAGAGGGAUGCGGAAUUCCAGGUGUAGCGGUGAAAUGCGUAGAUAUCUGGAGGAACACCGGUGGCGAAGGCGGCAUCCUGGACCGAUAUUGACGCUGAGGCGCGAAAGCCAGGGGAGCAAACGGG